rnacentral:lncRNA from 1 species
AAAUUAGGUUAUCCAAAUCUUAUACACUUGACUUAAAAUUUAUCUUUAGCCAACACUACAAGAAAAAGUGCCUACCAUGACAGGCAAAAUCUGUCAUAGUAGGGGGUGGAUGACGGUUGUUCAUACCGUCAUUAUAGCCACCGUCAAAAAUUGAUGACAGAAUAAUACCAGUCAUAAUCUGUGAUAAAUAUUUUUAGUCACAUAACUGUCAUAACUUUAUUUAGAGAGGAAUAUAAUAAAUUUGAAUUUGGCCCCUUUUUUUUAAAAUUUGUGCGCCAUAUUUUGAAUUUUUGGGGGGAAAAUCAAAUUUGGCGCGAAAUGCAAAUUAUAAUUAAAUGAAUUUUUUCAAUUAAAUCAAAAAUUGAAAUUAUAAUUAAUAAAAAAAGGGUAUUUUUUUUACACCAUGAAAUUAUUAUCAUUUUAAUAACAAUCCUGCAAUUGAUUUAGUAGAAAUUAAUAUUUCAUAAAUUAGCUAAUUAAUUAGAUUAUUAAAAUUAAUAUUGCAAUUAAAAAUUAACUGACAAAGAAAAUGAAAUGGAUAACAUUAACUAAGAUUUCAUAAUUGUGAGCAAACAUAAUUUAAUCAAAUUUGAGAGUGACAAAUCCAACAUAAAUAGAAGAAGAGUAUUGUAACAACCUAAGAACUAAAUUCCAGCAGCAUGUACAACACAAAUUAACAAUGAUCAGUUCAAUUCCAGUAGCAUAAGGAAGCCAAACAACAGAGUCAUUUCUACCAACAUGAACAAAGGCAACAACAUAGUUCAUUUCCAGCAACAUUUCCAGCAACACUUCCAGCAACAUAAGAGGAGCCAAAAAUACUGAUCAGACAAGGCCAGCAGUUCCCAAACGUGAAAAUCCAACCUAAGAACAACCGAAAUGUGUAAAAUUGCAUCAAUAUCCAGGAGCUAUUUUCCAAACAAAGAAAAAAACUAGCGAACUCCAGCAGUACCCACCAUCUUCAUCAUAAUCCAACAUAGAAGUAUAAUAAGCUAGAUAACUGCCCAAGUAAAAUAUAUUUCAUCAAUGAACUCACAAUAACAACAUAAUAGGUAAGGGUUACCUCACAUAACAGCAAGUACUCCAGAAAAAUGGUUUGCCCACUCAAUACGGACUUCAUCUAAUUCAGCAUCAGAAUAUGUUGUCUUUCCGUUGAACUAUUUAUGAAAAAUAAAUAUUUAGUGAAACUUUGAAACAGGACAUGUUCUUUUUUAUGAAGCAAAUUAUGAUCAAGGAACUCACAUUGUUCAUUAGUAAAGAGAAGUCAUUAAUUAAGUCACUUAACGAAGCUUCAAUAUCAGAAAUAGCUAGAAAAAAAAUUCACACACAAACACAUGAAUAUAAUUCAGAAUUACCUAGAAUAAAAAAAAAUUAACAGCAUUAUGCAAUGCACGAUUACAACUCAAAACAGAACUCAAAAUUAACAACAUUAUAUCUUCCUGGGAAAUUAUUUAGUAAAUUGAUUACCGAAAUAUAUGCAAUAUAUGCAAUACAUGCAAAUACAUUUCAAUUUUUUACAAAUUAUUUACUACUUUACAUAAAAGUUCAAUAAAUAGUCAAAAUUAAAUACAUGCAAAUGCAGCAAUGACUCACCAGUGGGCGUGAAGCUUCAAUUCACCGUCAAGCCUAGGGUUUCAACUUCGGCAACAACGAUUUUGGUCUUCUUUCACGGUAAGCGAUUGGGUUUCUUUCAGUCAAUAAAAGUACCCUGGAUGUUGUUCUCAUUCCAAUUUGGGUUUCGAUUAGCACUGACUUCGUCCCAGCAAAGAGAGAUGAUUCAGUGAAACAACUAGAAUGAUUUUGAAACUAUGGGUGUUUGGGUGUCGUUAGUUUGCUAUGGCUGGCCUUUGAGGGUUUGCUCCAAGUGUGCUAAUCGAUUUUGAGAUUCCACAAUAACGCUUGCAAAUUUUCUGAACACUUAGAAAAAAAUUUCCCUCUUUUCUCACAAAAAUGUUUCCCCCCUUAACAAAACGCAACGUUUUAUUAAUUGUUUUUUGUUAUUUACGUCUGUUAUCCUCAAACUUGCGAAACAUACAACUGAGACGACAUCGUUUCACUUCUAUUUUAGUAAUAUAAUAUUUUUAAAAAUUAAGUCAAACCCGCGCAAUUAAAGUCAACAUAAAAAAUCAGUCUUUCAUUCUUGAUAGUCAAAUAAUUUAUCACUAGUCUAUCAUAAUUUCUUGAUAUAUGAUAUUUAUAUCACCAAUAUAUCAUAAUUUCUUGAUAAACGAUAUUUCUAUCACAAAUAUGUCAUAAGUGUAUGACAGAAAAUAAAUCUAUCACGAUUCUAUUGUUGUAGGCCUCCAGACCAAAAACUGUCACACAGAGGACUGUCAUAGUAGAUACUUUUUCUUGUAGUGCAAUGUGAGAUAUAAUCCUAAACACAAUUUAUAAUUACUUAAUUGUGGGUUUCUGGGCUGAACUUCUAAUGUAACUUACAUUAUGUAAGGAUCACUAAUGCACAUUAUAUUUUUAUCUUGAUGGUACUUUUUUGGUUUUUAAAAUAUCUAUGCAAAAUUAGAGUACGAUUAAGGUGAAACAACUCUAUUAUAGUGGUUUUUUUUAUUAUUGGUAAAAAAAUUUUGUUAUUGACAAUAAUUUUUUUAAUAAUAUAUUCAACUUAUGUUUUCAUGGAUUAUAUAUAUGUUACAAAAUGUUGUUACAAGUAACAAUAUUAUUAUUACCAUUAACGAACAAGUUGUUGGGGAAUUUUAAUCCCGCCCAAGAUCUUGCAAGCAAAAAAAUCAAACGAAUAAUAAAUAGAAAAUAGAUGAAGAAUAAAACUAAUCACAGUACAAGAUUUUACGUGGAAAACUCCUAUACUGGAGCAAAACCACGGCCGCCAAGGACAAUGAGAGAAAAGUCCACUAUGUGAAAAAUUAUUAUUAUUAUCACUCUUGUAUUUUUCCUCACACCCAACACUAUAAGACAACUGGUAAUAGAUGACGGAAAAUAACUAUCAUAAAAUGGGGCGCAUGACAGACAAUCUAUCUGUCAUCUAUGUCACUGUCAUUAAUUUAUGACAGAAUUUUUUCCGUCAUAUUUUUAUUAUAGUUUUUAGUAGUCACAUGCACCUCACAUCAUAUUUGAGAGGGAAACUCAAAUUUAUUUGAAUUUGUUUUACAUUU